GCAUCGGUUUAGCUCAGCGGUUACUUCAUCGUUUGUGUACGAAAAACUUUGUCUGUCCUCGCAUAGACGGGUUCGACCGCGGGUGCCGUCCGAUGUUUUU
rnacentral:vault_RNA from 12 species